rnacentral:rRNA from 1 species
CAGGCCUAACACAUGCAAGUCGAACGAGGUUUGGUCAGUUUGCGGUGGUGCUUGAAUCACCAAUUACCGAUCAAACGGAGUGGCGGACGGGUGAGUAACGCGUGGGUAACCCGCCCUUCAGCAGGGGAUAACAUUUGCAAACAGAUGCUAAUACCGUAUAACCACGGAGACCGCAUAGUCUCCGGGUAAAAGAUGGCGCAAGCUAUCACUGAAGGAUGGACCCGCGGCGUAUUAGCCAGUUGGUGGGGUAACGGCCUACCAAAGCGAUGAUACGUAGCCGACCUGAGAGGGUAAUCGGCCACAUUGGGACUGAGACACGGCCCAAACUCCUACGGGAGGCAGCAGUAGGGAAUCUUCCACUAAUGGACGCAAGUCUGAUGGAGCAACGCCGCGUGAGUG